AGAGUUUGAUCCUGGCUCAGAACGAACGCUGGCGGCGUGCCUAACACAUGCAAGUCGAGGGAGAAAGCCCGCAAGGGUUAGUAAACCGGCGAACGGGUGCGUAACACGUGGAUAAUCUACCCUGGAGACUGGGAUAACUCGCCGAAAGGCGAACUAAUACCAGAUAAGCCCACGGCCGCUACGGCGGCUGAGGGAAAAGG
rnacentral:rRNA from 1 species